rfam:Halothece sp. PCC 7418, complete genome.
GUCAGCACCCCCGGCUGAAGCACGGGGGCUUCGUGCCUCCAGCUUCAGGUAGCUGACCAGCCUAAGUCUUAACUGACUACGUUUUUAAGGUCAUGGCACCUACAAAUGCUUUCCAGUUUGUAGCCCUGCCGCUAACGGUUAAACAGCCCUAGAAGGGGUAAGGCAGUGCCGUUAGCCCAACAAGCCCUAAAAACAUUGGCGAGGAAAACAUUAC